UUGAUUUAAUAAUUGAUUUUAAUAUUGACUUUGCCCGGUGCCAUCUAUUAAUCACUUACCUUAACUAGCUCAGUUAUAAUGUGAAACCUGCAUGAAAUCUCCUAUCUGUGGAGGUGUGAGAAAAAGAUUUCUGAAAUAUCAACUAAACAAACGACACAAAAAUAAAGCUAUGAAAUGGUGGAUAAAUAACAAAAGACUGUCGAAUAUUGUACACAAAUUUGGAAAUAUAUUGAAAAAUAAAGGCUUUGUUAUGCAACAUCAAAAAUACAAGGUUAUCUAGUCGAAAGUCUGAAUAAAGAAAUACGAUGCAAUGAAUUUAACUAUGAAAAAAUAAGAGUAUUUGACAAAAAUUAAGUCGAAGAUAACCCAAAAUUAUCUUGAAUAUUCAAAAUUUGUUAUACUAAAGCUAGAAAAUGAAAAACAUUGACUUUCGAUCAUGAUCAAUUAAAAAAAUAAACUGUUCAGUACAACCUUUCACGAUGUAAUAUGAAGAUAAACCAAACUGCUAUGAAGUCUCUUCGGAUCCAAGAAGAAACCAACUCCUUCUCCUUCACUGGAACAAUGUUCUAAAUAUGGUCGAUACCCGCAUCAGAAUACUUUUUCACUUUUAUUAUAAAGUUGAGGGUCAUUUUUAAAAAUUUUUUCUUCACCAUGAAGAUUAUUUAUACAGAUUGAUGUCUAUUUCAACAUAAUUUCACAAAUCCACACAUGCAGCUAAGUGAUGCAAGACGUAUCACCUUAACGAAGUUCCUUUCGAAGUGACUUUUAAAAAAUGGAACCUUUUGAUGAUUCUUACGAACAAAUAAGGCUAUUGUAUGAUACAAAUAGAAGUAAUUCUCUGGUGUGAAAAUUCGUCUUUUGAAAGUAUAAGGAUAUCGUCUAUAUAAUGAAGAAUAAAAUCAUCAUAUUUAUCUAAAAUAUUAUGAAAA
rnacentral:lncRNA from 1 species